rnacentral:rRNA from 1 species
UACGUAGGGCGCAAGCGUUGUCCGGAAUUAUUGGGCGUAAAGAGCUCGUAGGCGGCUUGUCACGUCGAUUGUGAAAGCCCGAGGCUUAACCUCGGGUCUGCAGUCGAUACGGGCUAGCUAGAGUGUGGUAGGGGAGAUCGGAAUUCCUGGUGUAGCGGUGAAAUGCGCAGAUAUCAGGAGGAACACCGGUGGCGAAGGCGGAUCUCUGGGCAACAACUGACGCUGAGGAGCGAAAGCGUGGGGAGCGAACAGG